GACGAACGCUGGCGGCGUGCCUAAUACAUGCAAGUAGAACGCUGAAGGAGGAGCUUGCUUCUCUGGAUGAGUUGCGAACGGGUGAGUAACGCGUAGGUAACCUGCCUGGUAGCGGGGGAUAACUAUUGGAAACGAUAGCUAAUACCGCAUAAUAGUAGAUGUCGCAUGACAUUUGCUUAAAAGGUGCAAUUGCAUCACUACCAGAUGGACCUGCGUUGUAUUAGCUAGUUGGUGAGGUAACGGCUCACCAAGGCAACGAUACAUAGCCGACCUGAGAGGGUGAUCGGCCACACUGGGACUGAGACACGGCCCAGACUCCUACGGGAGGCAGCAGUAGGGAAUCUUCGGCAAUGGACGGAAGUCUGACCGAGCAACGCCGAGUGAGUGAAGAAGGUUUUCGGAUCGUAAAGCUCUGUUGUAAGAGAAGAACGAGUGUGAGAGUGGAAAGUUCACACUGUGACGGUAUCUUACCAGAAAGGGACGGCUAACUACGUG
rnacentral:rRNA from 1 species